rnacentral:tRNA from 1 species
AAGUGUGUAGUUUAACCAAAAUUACUAGUUUCUAUCUGGUAGAUCCGAGCAUCCGGUACACUUA